GAGCGCCGCCGCCGCAGUCACGGCCGGCGCCGCCACAGCCGUCGCUCCCCGCCCUUCCCGCGCGGUCCGCCAUCCGCCGCCCACCUACGCACCCCUGCUACUACUAACGCUAGCAUGCCAAUGCGUGAGAGGGAGAGGAUUAGCCUGAAGGGGCAUCUCCGCUUCAUGUCGAAAGGCCCAGCAACGGCGGCAGAGCCUAGCUCUGCUUCAUAUGGCUCACGUAUCUCUUGUGUAUUCUCUACUUUUACUUGCUGCAAGCCUUCAACUCCAUGAUUUACAAAAUAGAGAUUCCUAAAUCUUCUAAACUCUACAGUCUUAGCUUGCAACUGUAUUCAUUAGAUCUAGAUUUAAUUUAGUACUCUUACUAUUUGAAUCUUGCUAGAUGUUCCUUUCAUUCUUCCACUGUUUCUACCCUUCUGGCCUGCAGCGUUAUGUUACUAUUAUUUGUUCCUCUUUUACAAUCUAUAGCUUUGCAGAAUAAAAUUUCUAUUUCUUUGUAGUGCCUUUUUUCCAAUACUGAGACUUACAGUCCCCUUACUACUGGAUUUAAUCUUGAUCUCACAAACUGAUGCAUUCAAAUUUUUGAUUCCCAUAGAUUCUAUGCAGCCUGUCAGCUUUCAUUUGUAUUGAUCCUUCUUCACUACACAUGGCAGCCCCUAGAUACUUACCCAUCGCACACAUCGGGGCAACAGAACUAAUUACAAAGGAUAGGCAGAGCUUCAGAAUGCCCUUGUGACCACACCAGUACCUCCUCCUGCGUCUAAACCACUGAUAAAAGAUAUCUAUAUUGCUAUCCAAAAAUACAUGUGGUUCACAACUCCAGCCAAAAAACAUUUCAUGCUUCCCACCAGAUUUCAUCCUUGAAUUCGCAAUGCCGAACCAACGAGACAUGGUUCUUUCUUACAGAACCAUGGAACUUCAAACUUAACCUCUCACCUUGGACAAAUCAAUAUCGAUCCCAGAUAAUUCCAUGGAAUACCCCUGUGACAAUUAACAUGGAAGGUAUUCCCCCCACAUGCCUUCAGUAAUGAAUCUUCAGGGCCUCUGCUAUUACCUUAUUGUGACAUACAAGCUUCUGCAUUUGAUCACAGCACUGGCAUAUGCACUGCAAUUACCUUUGCACAUAGCACAGACUUCAUUCCUACUGCCCAACAGCUAGGCAUAUCAUAUAACCAUCAGCACAGCACAACUACACAUGCAUUUCCAGUAGCAUUGCAAACCAGCGCCUACUAUCAAUCCGAGCACAGCAAUGAUGCAAAGUAGGCUCCAGACCCUUCCAUAUGCACUGAUGUACAUGAUUCUUCAACAAAUUACGACCCAAAGAUCUAUGAGGACCCAGACAUGGUUAGAGAAGCUUUCAAGCGUAUCGUUGAAGUUGAAAAAGAGGAUGAAGCUUCAAAUCCCGCUCAGUACAACAACAGCGGAUACUACAGCAACAGCUCGGAUGACAUCAACCCUAACGACGACUACUAUACCAUAGAUUCAGACCGUGAACCAGCAGAAUGAAAGCAUAAAUACUAGGAAGUAACCGUAUCUGCCAGUAGGCGAACGACGUCUCCAAGCACAUCAAAUAAAGUAGAAAGAACCUCUCUGUUCCAUUAUGAGUAAAUAUAUUAUCCGUCAGCUCUCUUAACUAAAUUCAUUUAAUGCAAAUUAAAAAAUAUUGCCAAACAAAAUCGAUCAAACACUUUACGCGUGCGGUGGUGUGUGCAAGGAGCAAUAUUUAGCAGCUUCAACUGUGCAAGCUUUUCUCUUAUUUUUUUUCCAAAACACUGUGCAAGCUUUUACCUCCCUCAUCCUUUUUCUACACCCCAAGUAUAAUAUAUGUACAUCUCUAUGUAUAUUAAUAUGUAUGCACUAUCUUUACUUAUAUAUACUAUACUCUUUAAAUAAAUUGGCUCUACCUAAA